UACAGGGGGGGCAAGCGUUGUUCGGAAUUACUGGGCGUAAAGGGCUCGUAGGCGGCCAACUAAGUCACACGUGAAAUCCCCAGGCUUAACCUGGGAACUGCGUGUGAUACUGGAUGGCUUGAAUUCGGGAGAGGGAUGCAGAAUUCCAGGUGUAGCGGUGAAAUGCGUAGAUAUCUGGAGGAACACCGGUGGCGAAGGCGGGUCUCUGGGCCGAUACUGACGCUGAGGAGCGAAAGCGUGGGGAGCGAACAGG
rnacentral:rRNA from 2 species